CCUACGGGUGUCAGCAGUGAGGAAUAUUGGUCAAUGGGCGCGAGCCUGAACCAGCCAAGUAGCGUGAAGGAUGACUGCCCUACGGGUUGUAAACUUCUUUUAUAAAGGAAUAAAGUGAGACACGUGUGCCCUUUUGUAUGUACUUUAUGAAUAAGGAUCGGUUAACUCCGGGCCAGCAGCCGCGGUAAUACGGAGGAGCCGAGCGUUAUCCGGAUUUAUUGGGGUUAAAGGGCGCGGUGAUGGGUUGAUAAGUCAGUUGUGAAAGUUUGCGGCUCAACCGUAAAAUUGCAAUUGAUACUGGCAGUCUUGAGUACAGUUGAGGUAGGCGGAAUUCGUGGUGUAGCGGUGAAAUGCUUAGAUAUCACGAAGAACUCCGAUUGCGAAGGCAGCUUACUAACCUCCCACUGACAUUGAUGCUCGAAAGUGUGGGUAUCAAACAGGAUUAGAUACCCUUGUAGUC
rnacentral:rRNA from 1 species